rnacentral:rRNA from 1 species
UAAGGAAUAUUGGUCAAUGGACGCAAGUCUGAACCAGCCAUGCCGCGUGAAGGAUGAAGGUCCUCUGGAUUGUAAACUUCUUUUAUCUGGGACGAAAUCACCUUUUUCUAAGGGUGUUGACGGUACCAGAGGAAUAAGCACCGGCUAACUCCGUG